AGAGAGCCUCGGCUAGGUGUGGAAACAGGAAGAGAACUAGAACUGGAAGUAAAGCAUUGAAGAUGUGACUGAAUUGCUGCAAUCUCAUGAUCAAAUUUGAAUGGAUGAGGAGUUGCUUUUUAGGGAUGAGCAAAGAAAGUGGUUUCUCGAGAUGGAAUCUACUGGUGAAGUUGCUGUGAACAUUGUUAAAAUGCCAAUAAAGGAUUUAGGAAUUACAGAAACCUGGUUGAUAAAGCAGUGCCAGGGUGUUGCUCCUUGAGGGCAGGACAGUUCUUAUGGCUUUAUCCGUUGCGUAAGCACAGAGAGGUCUGCGAGGUCAAAACUAUUGUCAUGAUAGCAAGAUGCCUGUCUUUUUCAUUUAUUCUCACGGUGUGCAGAGGCUACAUGAUGUGUGAUGACAUCCUCAUUGAUGUUAAUGAAUGGUGCUAUACUUGAAUUUUCUAAGGUGUCAUUAGGUAGGUUUAGGUAUGCAUACUUGUUUUUAGAAAUUAUUUUUUUCCUUUUUCCCAUUUUUAGAAAUCAACUCAUUUUUUAGGUUAUGCCUUCAGUAAUCUUUGCAACCUCAAUAUUGUGUAAUGGUUACUUUAAAAUACUGUAGUUUUCUUUGUGCCUAAGUAUAAACAUAAGUACAUUUUGUUGUUUUGUUUGCAAUAGUGGUUUAAAUAUUUUCCCAAAAUAUCCAAAUUUAAAAAUUCUACAACUUUAGAAUUUAAUAAAUUUAUUCUAAAAUA
rnacentral:lncRNA from 1 species